CAUGUCUGAAUAUGCAGUUGGCUAUGUGUGACUGUGGGUAUAUAUAUAUAUAUAUAUACACACACACACAUACACACACACACACACACACACAC
rnacentral:miRNA from 1 species